rnacentral:rRNA from 1 species
GUACCUAUAAGAACUGGGACGAACUUACGUUGAAACCGGAGCUAAUACCGGAUAAGAUAUCGAACCGCAUGGUUCGAUAGUGAAAGAUGGUUUUGCUAUCACUUAUAGAUGGACCCGCGCCGUAUUAGCUAGUUGGUGAGGUAACGGCUCACCAAGGCAACGAUACGUAGCCGACCUGAGAGGGUGAUCGGCCACACUGGAACUGAGACACGGUCCAGACUCCUACGGGAGGCAGCAGGC